rnacentral:rRNA from 1 species
UGAGUUUGAUUCUGGCUCAGAACGAACGCUGGCGGCAGGCCUAAUACAUGCAAGUCGAGCGCACCUUCGGGUGAGCGGCGGACGGGUGAGUAACGCGUGGGAAUGUGCCCUUCUCUGCGGAAUAGCCUCUGGAAACGGAGAGUAAUACCGCAUACGCCCUUCGGGGGAAAGAUUUAUCGGAGAAGGAUCAGCCCGCGUUAGAUUAGGUAGUUGGUGGGGUAAUGGCCUACCAAGCCUACGAUCUAUAGCUGGUUUGAGAGGAUGAUCAGCCACACUGGAACUGAGACACGGUCCAGNCUCCUACGGGAGGCAGCAGUAGGGAAUCUUNNNCAAUGGGGGAAACCCUGAUCUANNCAUGCCGCGUGUGUGACGAAGGCCCUAGGGUCGUAAAGCACUUUCGCCAGGGAUGAUAAUGACAGUACCUGGUAAAGAAACCCCGGCUAACUCCGUGCCAGCAGCCGCGGUAAUACGGAGGGGGUUAGCGUUGUUCGGAAUUACUGGGCGUAAAGCGUACGU